GUGUUGUAGUGUGAAUACUGGAAAGUCUAGCUGAAACCCACAAACGCAGCACCGCGUUGCAAGGCGUUGUUGCUUUCGUCCGAUAAGAGCCGUCCAUAGCGGAAACAGCGGAAAUUGGCAUAUGUUGAUCGGUGUUCGUAGGCCAAUCGCCUGCCUUGUUCCUUUGAAGCGGUUGUUGCGUUGCGUUGUUGGUUGACGUCAUGUUGAUGAUUUCAGCCACAAUUUACAACGACUUAUCGUACUAAAGCUAAAGCCUCCUUGUGAACGUUCACCUGAAGUUCAACCAUUCGACAGGUGGACGAAAAACAAUUAGGAAUUAGCGCAGUUUUGCGGAACUGCUGUUCGGUGGUCCGGUUUGCAGCAGAAUUGCAUAACAAACAGAAAUGUCUUUGAGGAGGGAAAGUGGGCGAAAGUAAAGCACGUGAGAAAAAGAGUGACAUAUGCAGAAGUUCAAUAAGGUUGUUUUGUCUCCAUACACAGGCUGCUCCGUGUAAAAGUGCAAGGACAUAAGCUUUUGCUACAGACAGGUGCUCUUUCUACUGUUUUCCGUGACAUCUGUUAUUCUUUUCUCUUUCUCUUUUUAGGUAAUUGGUGAUGCGCCGAAAAACAUCAAAUUCGUCAACGUAUAACAUUCAUAAAUAAGUUUCCAUACCUCUUCAAUGUGCAGGUCGUCAAAAAAGUUUGAGAAGUUUCUCUGCAAAACUGCGGUAAUCAACAUGCCUUUUUGCCACCUAAGGCAUGACCUAAGAACCCAGUCCCCAUUAAUGUCAAAUGUCCUUACGAGUGAGCUUGAGAAUUAGAGAAGCAGACUGCACUACUUUCUUCCUAAAAUAAGUAGUGCAUCAGUUUGCAUAUUGUUUACGCAGUUCUAUCAUAAACAUUUUGCGUUUUCAUGGUUCUAGUCCAUGAAAAAAAAGUAGAAUUCCCAUUUUAAAAAUUAUUCAGUAUAGAAGGAGCGAACAUGUUCAGCACCUAAUGUAAGGGAAGUAACCUCCAUGAAACAAUGAAUGUUUGAAAAUAUAUCAUGCCUUGACUCCAUUCCUGCAACAAAAGUAAGGAAAACAUCAGUUUUUCAGCCUGUAGAGUGGGUAGCUGACAAGGAAAUACCAUAGUCAGCAUCAUCACCAAAUUCAGUAGAACUUGAGCUAGAUGGUAUAUUUUGUUUUAUAGGGGAGUUGGCGCAAAUUCAGCACAAAUAUGGGGAGCAAGUAGAGAAGAUGAGCUCUGACUUUCAGCUGGUUCAUUUGACUUGCGCCAAAUACGGAGCUUCUUUGCUGCUGAAGUGCAGAACACUCAAGGACGUCACAUUCUCGAAAAACAAACAUGUUUGUUUUCAUCAAAGUUUAUAUGUGUUUACUUAUGAGAGUGAUGCCGAAUAUCAAGCAUAACGUACGGCUUUGGAGAUAGAGGGGAAGUACAAUGCUUGGGAUGGAGGCAUGGCUGCAAUGUUGCCAGUUCUGAACCCAGAUUCACUCUCGCUACUUGCUAGACACACCUGCAUAUCAUUCUUUUGGUUUUGUAACUUACGCAUUUUCUUAAACAGCACUGAGGUAAACAGCACAAUUCCUGCUUUCUGUUCUGAGGCUUUUACUCAUUACUAUCUGUGUGCCGUGCAGUGCACACACUACAUGGAGGAAGGAAAGAGAGGAGGAGCCCUACUGCUCCGAGAAGUGAAGCCGAGAUUGGGGGACGCUCCAGUGACAUCACCGCUCGUUUUCCGCUUUCAGUUACAUACAUCUCUAUGGGAGCCCCCAACGCAUAGUUUCGGAAUACUUGGAGAGGUGUGGUGGUAGCGCGCCGAAGUGGCCCCCAAAGUCACGUGUGCAAAGCGACCUCAUUGGACUAUUCAGUGAAUGUCUGCUACCUGGUGCACAUGGCCAUCCUCAUCAUGUGAGGACAAGACAUUAAAAGCGUUACCACAUUUAAUGCAGUUCAACAAGUGGGAAUUUUUGCAGUGCCACUUGAAAUACUGUGGUAGUUCAUGAACUCGUCAUUGCAGUGGAUGUGUAUCAGCAAGAUGUACGAGCCUGCAGUGCUAUGGGUUAGCUGCUGUUGCAUGCAAAAUGUUGGCGACACAAUGCGUCCUGCUUCAAGCCAUCUAGUGAUGAGAGCAUAGAUGAGGGUGUUCAUCUGCUCAUGUCAGAGGCAAGCAAAAAGCCACACAGAGCAGCAUUGGUGCCCCAGCCAGCGCACCCUACCAUAUUCUGGACCAUGGUCGCUCACCCAAACCACCCUGUCGUUCAGUUCGAUUGGACAAGCGUCCUUUUGAGUGGGGACAGUCGAAGAUGUGGCACAUGCUGUACUCGAGUGGUGCAGCUCUCGUGGCGUCGGUGGCAAUGACUUUUUCUUCGAGGGCAGCUUAGGUGCCGACAGGGAGCUUGGCCCUACGGUACAACAGAGGCAACACCAGACAUUUUGGACUUGAUUGCCCAAUAUGAAUGAAUCGCAAUGAAACUGACAAAAGAAAAUGCCCCUCGUUCUGCUAUUUCUAUAACGCAUAUUUUGCCCUGUGGCUUACACUAUACUGGAUGAAAGUGCAAGCACAUCUUGCAUUUUGGUGGGACCUCAGAAUCACAAUUUCAGACCUGACUUAACACUUCGCAUCGGUACUCUUUUGCCUUCCAACUUAUCAUUUGCAUGCCAUUGUGCUGUGCUGUUGAAAUGGUGGCAGAGUAAAAAAAAAAUUCCUGUUAGAAUAUGGCUUGCUUUGGAGCAUGCUGACUUAUUUACCUCUGGGUGGCUUGACUCCACCGGGAAUGGUGUCUUAGCAAUAUUCUGGUUGAUUGCCUAGCACAAAUGCAGUCAAGUGAGAUGGCGAAUGGAAUCAAUAUUACUGGGCCCAAAUUGAGGCCGCACAAGUGAUCACAUCUUAGCCAUUCUAGCCGAAACCAGCCAGGGGUGUAGCACCCUCUUAGAUUUUGCUGUAAAAAAUUGUAUGCAUUUCCUUAGGGGUGCAUAUGCAGGAUAUCAGCCUUUUUUUCUUGGUUUUCUUCUCGAACAUGGGGGUGCCACGAGCUGGACCUAAACAGGAGAAAGUGUUGUGCGUUCCACGCGUCCUUCUGACACAUACAGAAGACAUUUCUUUGCCUUCUUUGUGUGGUGUUAGAGGGGAAGGAUCGACAUAGCUUACCAAAUUGCAUAUUGAACGAGAACAAAUCUGAUGACGUGGUAAGAGCUGAAGAACGGAGCGUUUUAACCCACUUGUUUUCCACUCAAAUAUGUUCUCGCAGGAGCUCUAGAUUAUUUGUGCUCGUGAACUGCUGAAUGGAGAUUGUUUCACGUAAAAAUAUGAGGCUGAUCUGUAUUCACUGUUUAACUACGCGAUUGAGAAUAUCGGCCACACGUAAAAAAUGUCACUUUUGAGAUAAUGUUUUCACAUACCUAAGGCCGUCUAGGAAGUGAAAAAGAAAAAGAAAAAAAUAUCAUGCGAUUUGCAGAACAGAGCCUCUCCUAUAACAUAAUGAAAAUCUACAGGUGUAUUUUUUCUUCAACGAUAAAAAAAAAUUUUGACAGCGCAUUCGCAUUGCACUCUGUCAGGUACCGUUAUCAUCCUCCAAAUUAAUUUUGCCUCACUGUUUUUAUUCCACUUUUCUGUAGAUCUUCUUGCAUCAGUUAAUCAUAAAUAUUGGCUGAGAGCAUGUCAGAACGCGGCGUAACAAUAUUUGAAAACUAUUAGUCUUGUGCCGCCCUUGUCCUUCUGCAGAAAGUAUUAAAAGAAAAAAGAAGAAGAGGCAGUACGCGCAUUGCCUCUCUUUCACUGGGAAUGGACGUGUCCUCUGCAUGCACCUGAGUAGAAGAUAUUGCUCAAAAGUGAUGGCACCUCCUCGACAUGUCUCAUUGUGCCUCACCUUCAGCAGUUUUCUUUUCUUUCCUUUUUUUCAACCUUAUGUCCUCAGUGGAGAGCCAGAACGCAUGCACACUCUUCAAGUUUCCUUUCACCCAGAGGAACAGCUCUGGUGGCGUCAGGAUAUGUGCACUAAAUAGGGGCGCUGCAAGCUAGCCAUAACCUUUUAGCAGUACUGCCAACACCAUCACAUUGCCUUUUACCGUGGAAUGAGGAAAAAAAGUGCCACGUAACAUUUAUGCCGAAGUCAUGCUUGUGAAGGCAAAGGUUAGCAAUUUCAUUUUGUCUUUUACUGUUGUGACGCAGCACCGUCAGAGAGGUAGUGCAUUUUUCGGAUGUGAGGGAACUAUGCUUUAUGUUGCCCAAUAAACAAGCGGUGCAUGGUGUGUACCGUGACGUUGUCCUUAGUCAGACAAUCAGAGACGACAACAAAGCUGUUGUGAAGCAGUGAAUGUGAGUCGUCGGUAGAAUGGUAGAAAGCGAAAUUAAUUCAAAUGAUGAUAAUAGUACCUUACCGACGGGAUGUGAAUGUGCUGACAAUUUCUUGUUUUUUUUUUGCACUUAAGAAAAAAAUACAAAAAUAUACUUUUUUGGCCCCCUACCCUGUUGUCUAGGCCUAAAGAAUCCAUUGAACAUGGCCUUAUCGGUUUUCACAUGAAUGCAGGCAUAUCUGUUUCUUCAUUUCUGGAGAUUGUAAAGCUUUGUCCUACUAUCAUAUGCAUAGACUCUUCCAUCGUGCCAAAGUUCAGCUAAAUACAGUGUGUCCCAGCUAACUGCGAACAGAUUUUUAAAUAUAUAUAUAUCACUU